GCAAUGCCGCGUGUGUGAAGAAGGCCUUCGGGUUGUAAAGCACUUUUGUCCGGAAAGAAAACUUCGUCCCUAAUAUGGAUGGAGGACGACGGUACCGGAAGAAUAAGCACCGGCUAACUACGUGCCAGCAGCCGCGGUAAUACGUAGGGUGCGAGCGUUAAUCGGAAUUACUGGGCGUAAAGCGUGCGCAGGCGGUCUGUUAAGACCGAUGUGAAAUCCCCGGGCUUAACCUGGGAACUGCAUUGGUGACUGGCAGGCUUUGAGUGUGGCAGAGGGGGGUAGAAUUCCACGUGUAGCAGUGAAAUGCGUAGAGAUGUGGAGGAAUACCGAUGGCGAAGGCAGCCCCCUGGGCCAACACUGACGCUCAUGCACGAAAGCGUGGGGAGCAAACAGGAUUAGAUACCCUGGUAGUCCACGCCCUAAACGAUGUCAACUAGUUGUUGGGGAUUCAUUUCCUUAGUAACGUAGCUAACGCGUGAAGUUGACCGCCUGGGGAGUACGGUCGCAAGAUUAAAACUCAAAGGAAUUGACGGGGACCCGCACAAGCGGUGGAUGAUGUGGAUUAAUUCGAUGCAACGCGAAAAACCUUACCUACCCUUGACAUGGUCGGAACCCUGCUG
rnacentral:rRNA from 1 species